AACGAACGCUGGCGGCAUGCCUAACACAUGCAAGUCGAACGAGACCUUCAGGUCUAGUGGCUCACGGGUGCGUAACGCGUGGGAACCUGCCCUUAGGUUCGGAAUAACUUCCCGAAAGGGGUUCUAAUACCGGAUAAUGUCUUCGGACCAAAGAUUUAUCGCCUUUGGAUGGGCCCGCGUUGGAUUAGCUAGUUGGUAGGGUAAAAGCCUACCAAGGCGACGAUCCAUAGCUGGUCUGAGAGGAUGAUCAGCCACACUGGGACUGAGACACGGCCCAGACUCCUACGGGAGGCAGCAGUGGGGAAUAUUGGACAAUGGGCGAAAGUCUGAUCCAGCAAUGCCGCGUGAGUGAUGAAGGCCUUAGUGUUGUAAAGCUCUUUUACACGGGAUGAUAAUGACAGUACCGGGAGAAUAAGCUCCGGCUAACUACGUG
rnacentral:rRNA from 1 species